UUAGGAUAUAGUGUAAUUUGGUAGCACGGAGAUUUUUGAAUUCUCAAGAGUAGGUUCGAUUCCUAUAAUUCUA
rnacentral:tRNA from 1 species